AAAAGUAAAUAAAUUCUACCGGGGAACUACGAAUAAUAAUUUUAAUUUAAAACCCAAAGGGCUUGGCGGUGUUUUAGACUUCUUAGGGGAGCUUGUUUCGUAAUCGACAAUCCACGAUAGACCUAACCUUUUUUUGUAUCCAGUAUGUAUACCGUUGUCGUCAGGUAACUUUUAAAAAUAUAAAAGCUAGCAAAUAAGUUUUUAACUUGUACGUCAAAUCAAGGUGCAACCCAUAAAAAGGAGAGAAUGAGCUACAAUUAAAAGUUAUAAUACGAAUAAAACACAUAAAAAGAAUUUGAAGGAGGACUU
rnacentral:rRNA from 1 species